rnacentral:rRNA from 1 species
GGUAGAGCACUGAAUUUCCGCGGGGGCGUCAAAGCUUACCAAAGAAUAUCAAACUCCGAAUGCCAUGUAGAUGAUGAACGGGAGUCAGACUGCACGAGAUAAGUUGGGCAGUCAAAAGGGAAAGAGCCCAGACCGCCAGCUAAGGUCCCAAAGUGUGUGUUAAGUGGAAAAGGAUGUGGGAUCUCCAAGACAACUAGGAUGUUGGCUCAGAAGCAGCCACACAUUCAAAGAGUGCGUAACAGCUCACUAGUCGAGAGGUCCUGCGCCGAAAAUGUCCGGGGCUGAAACACAACACCGAAGCUGCGGAAUUGCGAAUGCAAUUGGUAGAGGAGCAUUCUUAAUACCGACGAAGCUGUACCGGAAGGAGCAGUGGAGGGAUAAGAAGAGAGAAUGCCGGAAUGAGUAGCGAGAGAGAGGUGGGAAUCCUCUCGGCCGAAUAUCCAAGGUUUCCAGAGUAAAGCUGAUCUGCUCUGGGUAAGUCGGGGCCUAAGGCGAGGUCAAGAGACGUAGCCGAUGGACAACAGGUUUAGAUUCCUGUACCGCAUAUAAACAGAACUGUGGGGACGCAUGGGGAGAGCAUGGGCCGGGAAUGGAAAUACCGGUGCAAGCGAAGGAGGUGUGCAGCCGGCAAAUCCGCUGCAUGAGCCGAAAGCGUGACGCGGAGCGAAAUGAAAGUAGCGAAGCAUGUGAGCCCUGUGCCGAGAAAAGCCGCUAUUGUUUUAUAUGUGCCCGUACCGUAAACCGACACAGGUGGAUGAGGAGAGAAUCCUAAGGCCGGCGGAAGAAGUAUUGUUAAGGAACUCGGCAAAAUGACCCCGUAACUUCGGGAGAAGGGGUGCCCACGGGAGUGGGCCGCAGAGAAUAGGCUCAAGCAACUGUUUAGCAAAAACACAGGUCUAUGCGAAACCGAAAGGUGAAGUAUAUGGGCUGACGCCUGCCCGGUGCUGGAAGGUUAAGAGGAGAGGUUAGCGCAAGCGAAGCUUUGAAUUUAAGCCCCAGUAAACGGCGGCCGUAACUAUAACGGUCCUAAGGUAGCGAAAUUCCUUGUCGGGUAAGUUCCGACCCGCACGAAAGGCGUAAUGAUUUGAGCACUGUCUCGACAAUGCAUCCGGUGAAAUUGAAGUACCAGUGAAGAUGCUGGUUACCCGCGCCAGGACGGAAAGACCCCAUGGAGCUUUACUCCAGUUUGGUACUGGGAUUCGGUACUGCACGUACAGGAUAGGUGGGAGACUUUGAAACUUGAACGCCAGUUUGAGUGGAGUCGCUGUUGGGAUACCACCCCUGCAGUAUUGGAUUUCUAACCAGUCACCGUGAUCCGGUGAUGGGACAAUGCCAGGCGGGGAGUUUGACUGGGGCGGUCGCCUCCGAAAGGGUAUCGGAGGCGCUCAAAGGUUCCCUCAGAAUGGUCGGAAACCAUUUGAAGAGUGCAAAGGCAGAAGGGAGCUUGACUGCGACACCGACGGGUGGAGCAGGUAGGAAACUAGGACUUAGUGAUCCGGUGGCAUAAAGUGGGAUUGCCAUCGCUCAACGGAUAAAAGCUACCCUGGGGAUAACAGGCUUAUCACUCCCAAGAGUUCACAUCGACGGAGUGGUUUGGCACCUCGAUGUCGGCUCAUCGCAUCCUGGGGCUGUAGCAGGUCCCAAGGGUUGGGCUGUUCGCCCAUUAAAGCGGUACGCGAGCUGGGUUCAGAACGUCGUGAGACAGUUCGGUCCCUAUCCGGCGCGGGCGGAGGAUAUUUGAGAGGAGCUGUCCUUAGUACGAGAGGACCGGGAUGGACGGACCACUGGUGUAUCUGCUGUCGACCAACGGCAUGGCAGAGUAGCCAAGUCCGGAAGGGAUAAACGCUGAAGGCAUCUAAGCGUGAAGCCCCCCUCAAGAUGAGAUAUCCCUCACAAAAGUGAGUAAGAUCCCUUGAAGACUACAAGGUAGAUAGGGCAGAGGUGGAAGUGUGGCAACACAUGGAGCUGACUGUUACUAAUCGAUCGAGGGCUUGACCAA